rnacentral:rRNA from 1 species
AUGUGGUUAAUAUUUCUGCAGAGUUUACAAACAAGAGUAAAACCUAUAAUGAUGAGUGAUGAUUAUGGUAUGAUUACUGGGUCAGUAAUUCAUAGCAAGGAAGCUAUUUUACUGGAAAAAGUAAAUCCAGUAUUAAACUUAGUAAAUUGUUGGGUAGAUCAGAUUAGAUGCGGCUUAAACCUUCGCUGCUCCCUGCCAUUUAGUACUGGCUGGAGUCUGUUUGAGCUGACCAAUGUGGAGCAGAGUCGCAAUGGAGAUGCCCAGUCUCACAUGCUUUAUUCUACUUCUUGUAGUAUGACAGAGCUUGGUUGUAGCUAA